rnacentral:rRNA from 1 species
AAACAUUUCUAUUAAACUUAAUUAAUAGUAAAAUCUGCUCAAUGAACAUUAAAUAGCCGCGAACGUGCUAAGGUAGUAUAAUAAUUUGUCUUUUAAUUAAAGACUAAACAAAAGAUUUAACAUUUUAAAUAAUUUAAACAUUUAAAUAUUCAAAUUAUUUUAAUUUUUAAAAAACAAUUAUAAAAAAAAAAGACGAUAAGACCCUGUUGAACUUAACUUUAGUUGAACUGGGGCAGUUGAUUAAAUUUAUCUUAAUCCACAUAAAAAUGUAUAAGACCUAUUUUAAAUAAUUAAAAAAUCAAGUUACCACAGGGAUAACAGCGCAAUAACUCUUAAAGUCCUUAUUUUAAAAGAAAAUUACGACCUCGAUGUUGAAUUAAUUUACUAAUUCACGCAAUAGUGAAAAAAGAAAGUCUGUUCGACUUUUAAAUAAUUACAUGAUCUGA